AUGAAAUCAAACUCCACAAUGACCUCAUUGUAUGUGGGUGAUCUGCACCCUGAUGUCACCAAGAUGAUCCUGCCGGAGAUGGUGAGCCAUGCAGGACCCAUUCACUCUGUCCAUGUGUGCAGGGACACGAAGACUUUGGUCACACCCUAAAUCAACAUACUGAUGUAUGCUUUAAGAAAUUUAACUUCUAGCAAGAGGGUGACCGUAAAGGAGGACAGCUAAAAAACAACAACAACAACAAAACUGGACUUUUCAGGUGACACUGAGACAGCCCAUCAGUAUCACUAGGGUCACGUCACAUCCAUAGACUGUAUAAAAUCAAGUUUAAUGAUUUCUCAGCAGCUUUAUUUGAACAUGAUCAGUUGAUGGCAGAAUGGAAGGAGGCGGUUCUUCUGGAGAACGCACGCACUCAUGGC